rnacentral:ncRNA from 1 species
GAAAGCCGUAUGAGGGAAAACCUCACGUACGGUUUGAUGAGGAGGGGCUGAAAAGUUCAGCCCUUUACUCUAGU